GGUGUGAGUGUUCCUAGGGGGGGCUGCUUGGAUCAGUUUGUCUCUACAAAGGCCCUAAACAGGAAUGAGAGAGGCAACUGUUGGCAUCACAGAGAAUCAAUUUUGGGUUUCUUUGAUUUAUUUCUUGCAGGGGAUUGUUCUUUCUGGACUUCAUUCUGGCAUUUGUUGAGCUGCUGAAGGAAAAAAAAACUGUGCUCCUUUGCUUGAAGCAAAAGCUCCAACUCGGCAAGCCCAACACAGGUCCCUGAGGGAACAGCUGCCAAGAAGCACUACAGGACCCACCCAGCAAGAAGGCAGCUUGAUGACCUGGUGGUGAAAGGCAAGAGGACCUCAUGGCCCUUGCAGUCUGCAGGGAAAGGGCGAGGAGUGGAGAGGCAAAACAUAUCCUGAGUGCACCUAUGGAAAGCUUUGACCCAGAGAUGACUGUGGAUAAGCUGAGCAUGCCAGGAAAAAGGCUCCCAAGUGAGACUUGCCUGCCCUCAGAUCUACCAGAAUCCAAAGCAAUCACCCAAAACAGUGUCUCUGGAGAAGGUGCUGACACUGCCAAGUGACAUGCUUCAGUGAUGAGAUUGCCAGGCUAGGUUAGGAUUUAACCGUGCAGGCAACAGCUGUGCCUCACCUGAAUCACCUUGGGGAUGCCUGCCCCAUGUCCUUUCCACCACAGUAACUGAAGAGAUACUCUGGCACUUAAAUGAUUCCUAUUCAGAAAGCUCAUAGGGAUAGAAAGGUCUAAGGAGUGGUCUGAGCUGCUCUGUUGUUUUCCAUCAGCUGGAAACCAUAAUCCUUGGUGGGUUCUAGGUUAAGGCUGCCUUGCCUUUGGAUCAUAGGCAGGAGAAGGGCAGUGGCAGAGAGGUGGACAGGGCUUUCUGCAUCCCAGCCUGGAAUUCCUGAUAAUACAGGGUAAGGGAAAUCCACUCCUGUGGAAACAUACCUGCUGCUGCCUCAGCUUGUCAGGGCUUUCCUGGUUGUCUUACACGAGAUCAGCAACAGUCUGAGCACUGGUUUAUGCUUUCUAGUGCUGUCAGGUAGAAAUUCAAACAGCUUUGAGCUUUGUAAAACCACUUAAAGCAUCUGUUGAAUCAGUGCCAACAUGUGGCAGGUCUUGGGGCAGCCCUGGAAGGAGAACGUUCCAGACAUCUGCUGCCUUUUACAGCUUUGCUUUUGCCAGGUGGUGGGAAGAUGUCUGACUUAGAAUUCACAGGGUCACAGAUUGCACUGGAUUGGAAAGGACCCUCGGAAGGUCACCUUGUCCCUCCACCUCCCUGAAGGGAGCAGGGACAUCUCCACCUAGAUCAGGUUGUUCUGGGCCCGAUGAAAUGCAUCUUUGGAUGUAGGUAACUAGGCAGGAAAAAAACAGGCUGUGCUAUGGGGGCUCCCCACGAUCAGAAGUCCACAAAAGGUGUUACAGGUGCAACUAAUGCCGUGAGAGCAGCCAGACAGAGAGGGAUCUGGGGGUGCUGAUUGAUACCCGCCUGAACAU